CUCACUCUAAAUCAAGGCCAUCCUCUUACCUCUGUAGAGUGCUGGAUUUAAAGGCUUGAGAGGAUGUGCCAUGUAGUUCACAAGGAUAGAGUGGCCUUGCCUAACCCUUGACAGGUGGCAUUCUACAAGGAUGUGGUGCUGGCUACCUAUGGGAACCUUACCUUUGUGUGAUUGCUUCCCUGUCUGACAUUUGGAAGAGAAGCUGGAGACUAAAAUACCACCCUGCUUCCUAUUGGGAACCCCUGGCCUGGCUGCAACCUGCCUGGGGCAGGGUUACUCCAUUUCUCUGUGACCACCCAGCUGUCCCACUACAAAGGUCUUGGUCCCAGAGUGGGGAGUGCUUUUGCCAGAAGACACGAAGAACAUUCCAUUGAACUGGAAGCUAAGACUUCCCCCUUGUCAUUUUGGGCUCCUAAUGCAUUUGAGUGAUCAAGCUGAGAAAGGAGUUACAGUGAUAGCUGGGAUGAUUGAUCCAGACUAACAGGAGGAAAUCAGACUGCUCCUCCACAAUGGAGGAGCUGAUCACUACCUUCCAGUGUGGAUUGAAGACCAGAGUCAACUGAAGACACACGUGGAUUGAAACCCAGCGGCUCCUCAGGAAGCCUCCAGGCUUUCCAGCACCAUCUGCAUUACCGGAUCGGGACUUCCCAGGCAUCUGGCCACAUGGACUGAGCAGGUACCAGGUUCCAUGAUUCUCAGGCCUGUGACUGCGAUUGGACUACUGAUGCAAGAUUGGUGGAUCAGUUACAUAGGCCAAAUACAGAUCACUGCGGACCAUCGGAAGCCACAUCAUCAGGAGCAGAAACAUCAUUCUUUGUAUGUUCAAUCCCUGUGAACAGGACCAACCUCUCUGGCAACCACCUGGCAUUGUCAACGUCCUGUGGGAAAACACAAAUAUGCCCUCAUCCCCAUAUUAACACCGGGUCAGAGCCAUGCCAUUGUCCAUCAGUGGGGUCCUUCCAUCUAACUUGAACAAAAGUGUCCAGUGUUCUAGGAUGCCAUAAUCUGUCUGUUUCAGAGUAACCAGAUGCAUCCAUAUUAAAAAAUUUAAAAUAAAGAGUACAUGAUUUAAAGCAUUCUAUGGUGAUCAAGGGUAUAGCUCCCCCUUUUUAAUUUUUUUGUAAUUGAUUCUUUAAAGCUCCAUGGGCAUGUUCAACAAUUCCUUGUCCCUGGGGGUUGUAAGGUAUACCUGUUUUAUGAACAAUUAAUAAUUGGGCACAAGAGGUCCAGUCCUGUGCUGUCUGGGGUUGCUCUGCAGAGGUCCUGAAUGGAUUGUUUUGCUGGGGGAUAAAGUUCUGUAGUGCUCCCUAAUACUGUUGCAGGGCCUGGAGCUGCUCCCCCCCCCCCCCACCAUUUCCCUGCAGGAGAGGAUUUCCCAUAUUGUCAUGUUUAGAUUUACAUUCAUUGGCUCAGUGUUUACCUCUCUUACACUUUGGGCACAACCCUGGUUCCUUUCUGGGUGAUUCAUUCUUUUGCUUCUGAGGACAUUUUCUCACCUGAUGUCCCACUUGACCACAUCCAAAACAACUCCCUGGGGGACUAUUAAUUUUUUAAUUCCUUUUUGUUGCUGAAA